GGGGGGGGGGGGGGGGGGGCCGUGGGGGGGGGGGGCGGGGGGCGGCGCGGGUGCGUGCGCCGGGUGGGGAGUGGCGGACGGGUGGGUAAUACAUCGGGACAUGUCCUGGAGUGGGGGAUAGCCCGGCGAAAGCCGGAUUAAUACCGCAUACGAUCUACGGAUGAACGCGGGGGACCUUCGGGCCUCGCGCUAUAGGGUUGGCCGAUGGCUGAUUAGCUAGUUGGUGGGGUAAAGGCCUACCAAGGCGACGAUCAGUAGCUGGUCUGAGAGGACGACCAGCCACACUGGGACUGAGACACGGCCCAGACUCCUACGGGAGGCAGCAGUGGGGAAUUUUGGACAAUGGGCGAAAGCCUGAUCCAGCAAUGCCGCGUGUGUGAAGAAGGCCUUCGGGUUGUAAAGCACUUUUGUCCGGAAAGAAAUCCUUGGCCCUAAUACGGUCGGGGGAUGACGGUACCGGAAGAAUAAGCACCGGCUAACUACGUG
rnacentral:rRNA from 1 species